rnacentral:rRNA from 1 species
UACAGAGGGUGCGAGCGUUAAUCGGAAUUACUGGGCGUAAAGGGCGCGUAGGCGGCCACCGCAAGUCGACUGUGAAAUCUCCGGGCUUAACCCGGAAAGGUCAGCCGAUACUGCGGGGCUAGAGUGCAGAAGGGGCAACUGGAAUUCUCGGUGUAGCGGUGAAAUGCGUAGAUAUCGAGAGGAACACCUGCGGCGAGGGCGGGUUGCUGGGCUGACACUGACGCUGAUGCGCGAAAGCUAGGGGAGCGAACGGG